ACAGAAAGCAUCCUCAGAUCGUAAAUGAUGGCAUACCUUACACGUAUUAUAUUCAGCUCUUUACUCGUUACUCGCUGUUGUCUUCCUGAUUGGUUGAUUUGAUUUGUUGGAGAAUCGUCUAUACUUUGUCAGUCAAGUAAGCGCAUGAACAGAAAUUUUUAGAGCAUUGUAAAGAUAUUGGGAGCCCAAUAGUCAGCUCAUGGCCAUCCAGAAACCCUCCUCCAAGUCAACCAUUUCAGAACCUGUCCACAAAAUCCAUUUCUGAAGCCGAGCUCCA
rnacentral:lncRNA from 1 species